GUCAACUAUGUGGGAGUCCAGCGACAUAGCCAUUACGCUAACUGCUGGUUCCCACUUGUAAGAUUUUUAGAGAAAUCAGGAAAGAUGAUAGUCAAGUCACAUUAAGUCAGCAAGAUUUCAUUUAUACUCUCAUAAAGAAAGUAAUCUUGAAGGGACAAAUCUGCUCUUUAUUGUUGCUUCUUUCCUCCACUUUUUUUUUUCUGCCUGUAAAUGUCAUCAACUCUAUCUCAUCAGAAUGCCUUUCUAUUUUGUAGACUGGAUGCUGCCUAGUUUGUCAGCCAAUUAGAUCUUUGAAAUUUUGUUCUUUGACACAAUUGAAAAAUGGUCAUAAGUACAAAGACCAGUUAUAUUGAAACUGAAUAACAAAACAAGUCACCUAAUCUGAAUCACAAGAAAAACUAGUAACAUGUAGGUAGUAGUACAGUUUACAACAGUAUUAUUUUCAAUUAUAAAAUGUAAAAAGUUCUAAAACUCAUUAGCUUUCCCAAUUGAGCAAACACAUUUGAGCGAACACAAGACUUCUUGUAAUUUUCACAAAUUUCACUUUUGUGUGUCACCUUUAUAUAUUGCUACAUUGCUACUGAAAAAUUGAAUACAGGAUGUGGUCACAGAUCCUGCUGUAAGUGUUUCUUGCCUCAAAGAUAUUUGUUAUGAGACUGUGUACCAGUGGUAGGUAGCAGUAUUAGUCCUAAGAGUACUAGUAGUAGCAAUAUACCAAUCUUUGAGUACUUGGUUUAUAAUAGGCAUUGUUCUAAAUACUUUCUAUGUAAAUACCUCAUCAAAUCCUCAGAAUACCCUAAGAGUCGUCAAUAUCUUCUAUAAAUAAGGAAACUGAGGUAGAAUAGCCACUUAAUUUGCUUAAGAUCAUGCAGCAAGCAGCCCCAAAAACACUUGGAGCAUUUCACAAUAAUAGUUAAGAACAGACAGGCCUUUGCAAACAGUAUGAUACACAGCAACUCAAAUAACAAACACCAGAAGUCUGGAGAUUGUCAACCCUAGGUUGGUUCUGAAGGUCAAAUUGUUCCUUCCUAGGCGCUUUCCUAUUUUCCAUUAGAUUUCCCACCAUCGUGACAAUAGAACUGCAGCAGCUCCAGGAAGCUGACACCGGGAAGAUGGUAGCUCCCUAGCCACCCACAUCCCUUUUUAGCAGGUUGGAAAAUCUUGUCCAGAACUUUGCCUCCAAAGACCUCCUGUAGUGGCCAAAACUGAGUCACAUGGACACUACUAGCCAACCACUGGCAAAGGACUGGCCCCAUUUUAAUUUGCCAAAAAGGGCGCUGAGUCUGGGUACAUGGGUGCAGAACCACCGGAUUUCCGUAGUAGGGCAGGGAGGAAGAUGCUGGGGCAGAACAAGCCUGAACAAGUUGUUAAAGAAAUUCUCCCAGCCCUGAGUUCUCUGGGUAGACAGAUGAGGGUGCAGUGAUGGUUAGCAUACAAAUGGGCAAGGAGUUUGGACCGCCUGCUGUUCAGAGGGAUAGCUGGCUUCUCUAAGGCGGCAGUGCGGCGGAACCCCCGUGAGCGAGGACCUCGGCCCUGAUGUUGCCUCGGCGGCCCACGCUCCCUACAGUAGCAGCCCUCCUCUGAGCUUCAGUUUCCUCUUCUGCAUAGCCCGAGGGCUCCGGCAACUCAGCACCUGCGACUUCCUUGCGCCCGCCAGCCUGCGGAGAAAUGAGGUGCGUUCGGAGCCUCCCAACAAGAAGCCAUCCAACAGCAACGGUGCGCUGGGCAAAACCGGGCUUCAGAACACUGCGCUUCCCUCCGCCCCACAGUCUCCAAAGGGGCGAAAGAUACCCAGAAGUGAGGCGGCCUACGGAGAACUACAACUCCCAGAGACCCCCGCAGCUUCGCCACGUAUCAGCUAGACACAGAAAAACAGCUGUGAACUGGGUUCGGCGACCAGAGGCGAGGAGCUGUAGUCGAAGCGUGGCGUAAUCCUAAAAGAAUGGGUUCUUCGACCCCCACAUCUGCUUCUAUGAACAGAAGCGACAAGCCAUCUUCUGCGACACAAUGACCUGGGGCAGACGGACACCUGCAUUCUUGCCCCAACCCUAGAAGACUCUGGUCUCCGCUACUGAUGUCUGCAAUCCUGGUGUCCGAGGGCACUCGCUCUCCUCGCCGGCCUCGCCCCUUCUGCCUCCUCAUUGGCUCCCCGAGAUACGUGCGGAAGGGGGCGUGCCCGUGGGCGCGGCCAGGCGGCCCGGCUUCGGGGUGGGAAUGAGCAAAGUGCUAGGCUCUGGCCUGAGGCCGCAUGGACAGCCUGACUGUGAGCCGGUGGCGACGGAGGAGGCCGGAGGAGCUGCAGGUUCCGGGGGACGCGAAGCGGGCAUGCAGGAGAGUAGAAGCAAAUGGGCAUGAGUGUGGCUGGCACCAGGCGAAUGCAUGUGCACCGGCAUCCUGGGGCACAGAGGGCCAGGAGCCUCCGCUGAGAGGCUGCCCUCCUGCAUCGAGGUUGGAGAGUGGCCAAGGAAAGCCAAGUACAGUGAUUCCUCAGACUGGUGGAAGGAGCUCGGUCCAGCCUUGCCCGAGAUGUAUUGCGGGAGAAUCUGAUGCAGGGAAGUCGUCAUGGCCAAGACAGCUCUGUUUACCACCUAGCCCACGCCACCUUUCCUGAACCUUAGCCAGCUGAUGGAGACUUUUAUCAUCACGCUCUAAACCCUGCAGGACAGGGAUACUGGGCUUUGCCCUGCCUUGGUUGCUAUGUGUUGGCAUUAUUUGGCCAAGGGUGGCCCAGACUACCAGAUGCUGGCAAGACUUCUCAUUACACAGUGGUACAGUGUCUGGCCAACUGUCCAUCCUCAGCCAUCUGGUUGACCCGAUUCUUUCUGCAGGGACAUUUUAACCAUACUGGGAACCAUUAGAAGAUGCAAGCUGGACAGAGGAAGAUUCUGCUUUUGACUUUGAACCUUCUGUGUUACAGCAAAUAUGAAUCUCUUACAGAUGGGAUUGGGUACCCACCUGUUCAAAUAGCAGCCUGGUGUUUCUGCUGGGGGAUUGUUUAUCUAUUCAUUCAGGUUAUGCCACCAUACUCUCUCACAUGAGAGCUGGGAGAAUCCAUGUCACUUCAAAAGAACCUCCAAGUUGUUAUUACUCACUAUAGCCUUCUUUCAAAUGUAUCUUGCUUGAGGGAGAAAUCAAUUGCAUUAUUUAAAGGUGAAAAAAGAAAAACUCCAUAUCAAACUUCCUAUGAAGUUUGGGAACUUUGUGACUUAUGAAAUCACAUCCAGAUGUAGCCUUGAUUUUAUACUUUUCAGUUCUUCUGUGGAUAUAUCCAGGGCUGCAUAUGUACUUUUAAAAAUUAAAUAAUUUAUUUUUAUACUUAAAAUGCUCUAUAAUCUUGAAAUGAAUUUUACUGAAUGCUAGUAUCUGUUUUGUGUAAUUCUCCAACUGAAGUUAUCAGAGACAGGGACCCCUUUUAUAUUAAAAUGGAAAUUUUCUCAUUUUCUCCUGGAUUUUCUAUGUAUCCUUUGGCUGUGGAAAUUGGCAUUAUUUUCCUUGGGUUUGAAAGCUUCCUGAGAUAACCCUGGUCACUUGAUAGACAAGGACCUAAAGAAACCACUGGAUUAUAUAAUUGGUCUGAGGUUCUUCAACCUUCCAAAGCCAGAAGAGGGUGGGAUUUCCUAAUACACUCUUAUGUUUUCAUCACUUUAUUCCUUAGGACCAUGUUCCCUACCUGAGACCAUUCUCAGCACUGGGAUUUGGGAGUGCACAAUCCAUAAAUGAUCAUGGUAUGCAGUACUGGGGUGAAUUUCAUAUUAGAAAAAUGGAGCAUAGGAAGAUGCGAUGCUGAAACUACUGCCAUACCAUUUGUGGUGUCAAUUAUCUAAAAUUACUAGACAUCUCACCAUUACUCCUGCCUAUAAUCCCAGAGCUGUGACUAGAUUGGGAAGUCCCAAUCCAUGCCAGACAACCAAGGCUGAAAGAGAGGGAAAAGGUAUUGGAAUUUGUGGCCUUAAAAAAAUUUUUUUUGGAAGAGUUUUAGUUCUUCUCUUUUCAAAAUGAAAUCUGUAUGUUUAUGGAAGAAAAUUAAAACUCAGAUUUAGGAACCAACAACUGGCAUAAUAAUAGUUACGUCACUGGAGUCCCACGUAGUCAACUGCAGUUUGAGUCCCAGACCCAGUGGCUUAAAACUCACACGGGACUAGAAUGGAGAAGGGAUUGCUGU